rnacentral:rRNA from 1 species
GAUGAACGCUAGCGACAGGCUUAACACAUGCAAGUCGAGGGGUAACAGGGUAGCAAUACCGCUGACGACCGGCGCACGGGUGAGUAACGCGUAUGCAACCUGCCUAUAACUGUGGAAUAGCUCCCUGAAAGGGGAAUUAACACCGCAUAACACUAUUGAUUCGCAUGGAUUGGUAGUUAAAUGUAGCGAUACAGGUUAUAGAUGGGCAUGCGUGACAUUAGCUAGUUGGUGAGGUAACGGCUCACCAAGGCUACGAUGUCUAGGGGUUCUGAGAGGAAGGUCCCCCACACUGGUACUGAGACACGGACCAGACUCCUACGGGAGGCAGCAGUGAGGAAUAUUGGUCAAUGGGCGCAAGCCUGAACCAGCCAUGUCGCGUGCAGGAAGACUGCCCUAUGGGUUGUAAACUGCUUUUAUAGUAGAAGAAACACAUCUACGCGUAGAUGUCUGCCAGUAUACUAUGAAUAAGC